UACGAAGGGGGCUAGCGUUGUUCGGAAUUACUGGGCGUAAAGAGCUCGUAGGCGGUCGGGCGCGUCUGCUGUGAAAACUCAGGGCUUAACCCUGAGCUUGCAGUGGGUACGGGCAGACUAGAGUGCGGUAGGGGAGACUGGAAUUCCUGGUGUAGCGGUGAAAUGCGCAGAUAUCAGGAGGAACACCGGUGGCGAAGGCGGGUCUCUGGGCCGAUACUGACGCUGAGGAGCGAAAGCGUGGGGAGCGAACAGG
rnacentral:rRNA from 1 species